rnacentral:rRNA from 1 species
UACGAAGGGGGCUAGCGUUGCUCGGAAUUAUUGGGCGUAAAGGGCGCGUAGGCGGCUUGGCAAGUGGAUGGUGAAAUCCCUCGGCUUAACCGAGGAACUGCCGUCCAAACUGCUUCGCUUGAGACCGGGAGAGGUGAGUGGAAUUCCCAGUGUAGCGGUGAAAUGCGUAGAUAUUGGGAGGAACACCAGUGGCGAAGGCGGCUCACUGGACCGGUACUGACGCUGAUGCGCGAAAGCGUGGGGAGCAAACGGG